AUCACCACAUUGAAAACACACAAACCAAUACUUAUAACUUUUUAUUUAUGAGGCCUUUUGAUAGCAAGGCUAUCUUCUUCAGACACAUCACAACAGUCCUUUUGUAUAAGUAUUGGUUUGUGUGUUUUCAAUGCGGUGAUUGAACAAGAAAAGCCAAUAAAAGUUCCAUCUUCAACAUUACAUGAACAUGAUUUUACUAUCAGUAAAUAGAAAACAUAUAAAUCUUAUUAGGCAUGUGCUGUAUGAUUCUACAAUUACGUACAGAUAAUGUCAUAGUAUAAAAUUAUUUCAAGCUUUAAAAACUGUCAUUAAAUAAUCUUCAGUCCAAAAGUUUCUAUUCUUCCCCUAAAAUUAUAAUUAUUUUAAAGUAGACUUAAAAAUUAUUAGUAAUAAAAAAUAUAUCACUUUUUAACACUUUGGCUUACAUACAUUUUGGUAUACAGUACUUACUCUUUUAAGAAGUCUUUCAAAUUAUAAGUGUAUAAGUGUGCAUUUUGUGUAACUUAUUUUGUAGCUCUAAUUAAUGUAUAUUAGUUUAAAAGUUGGUAUUUUUAUAUCUUCUUAGGGUGAAGCAAAUAUAACUGGACUUUCAAGUUUAUGGCCAGUAUUCUGGCAGUGGAGCAGCAAUGGGUAGGAUGGAUAUUAUAGGGGGUGAAGUUAUAUCUUUGUGUUGUUUUUGCUCUCCAUUACUAUUGUGUAUGAAACAGAGGAGCCUAGGAGCCUAGAGCCGAUUUGCAUUGUACAAGCAUACAACCUGUCUUUUGUUUCUAAGAAAGAUAUUGGUUGUUUUCUGCAUUAGUUUUUCACACAAUACGAUUAAAUUAUCACAAUCAUUAUGUAGCACUUUGUAUUGUAUAUUUGUCAAUUUGUAUUAAGAAGUUUUAAUUACCUAGGCUACAUGCAUUUUAACAAUGUUUCAUAUAUUGUUAGUUCAGCUACCCAAAAAUUGAAGAACAUUAACAAAUAAAUAAUAAGUGUUAUUGGUUUUAAAACAAGUUUUUUUGUACAGAAUAUUGAAAAUAAAAUGUAUUAUAAAUGGACAAUAAUAAAAAUCCAAUCUGUAUUAUGUUGUAUAAAAGUAGUAAAAGUGAGUUAUAACAGAAGAAACAAAGUAUGCCUACAGCAGGAUCUAUAAAAUGACAUUUCCUGAGAGGAUGUCCUGUUGGAUUUCAAAAUUAACCCUCCUCUCCUCAUGAGAUGGUGUGGGGGAAACUCAAAAAUCUUUAAUGGGUUGGCCCAUUAGGUAAUAUUUCAAAUUGAAAGCGUUGAGGAGGCAGAAAAAAUUAUACCAAGAAAAGUAAUUUCAGACUAUUCUAUAAAAUAAUCACCAAUAUGUUUCUAAGAAAUCUACAUGGAGACCUUUAAAUUUCACCAUUUAAAGGAUCCUUAAAUUGAAUUUUCACACUAUGGGGUUAUUGUUAAAAAUCCUUUACUUACCUCCAGUGAUCUAGGACUAGAAGUGGUGGAACUGUGACCUCCUGGGGGUAUGGAGGACAUGGAAUAUUCCCUAGAGGAAAGGUCCAUGCAAGUUUUGAAAGUAUGGAGCCUCAAAAUAGCGUUUGAUGUAUCUCUGAGAUGCAGGGAAAAGUUUCCCGUGGAAACAAACCCUUAUUGUUAGGGACGGGUAAAAUCUGUUAACAGUAACCUCAUUGGUAAGGAAAAUUGUGUUGCAAGUAGCGGAUUGCUUCUAUCACCUCUAUAUAUAAUACUCAGGAAUAGCUACCUCUUCACUCAAUGAUCAGCUGAGAAAAUAAAAGCUCUGUUUAUAUAGGCCUCACUCUUGUCUAUUUUGUAUGAUUUAUAUUAUUUUUGUUGGUUCCAUAAAAGAAAAUGUUUGUCUUUUUAUUUAAUUGUGUGAAUAUAACAAAUUUUGAGUACCUGAUUGUUUUGUUGCCUGUGCUUAGUUUUACUGGUUUCAAACUGAGAUUUACACAAUUAUUGAACCAAAAGUGCACAGUUUAAUUUUAAUUUCAAGGGCCACGUAAUUGUUACCUAGUUGUUCAAAUUAAAUAUUAGUUUUGUAGUUAUACUAUAAUAAUAGAUACUGUUACGAUUUGUAAUAUAAUGUAUUUAGUUGUAAGAUGUUGAAUUUUAAUGUUUACAGUUAAUUAUUUCUUUCAUAACUUUUUGACCAGUUACUCAUAAAUGUUACAUACAUUUUUUAAAUACCAGGGUAAAAUUUGUUGAAAAAAUCUAUAUCUUAGUUUUCAUACUCAUUUACUGAAUGUACAAUUUAUAUUGGCUUAUCAAGAAAUAAAUUGUUUUUCGCAAAGUGAGAUGAUUUUGUAAACCUUCUGAGUAUUAGUUGUAAUAGCUAUAGCAGUAUUGUAAUUUGAUAACUUAAUUCUUAAUAUCUCCACAACCAUUUAGAUUAGAUUAAAGGAGGGAUAAGGACGCCCUGGUCCCUAGUGUUUAGGUGCCUUUACAUCUUAGACUUUCUGCCCAACACUUGGCUGAGAGAUUCCAAACAGGGUUGUUCUAAGUGAAGCCUUUCAAACUCCAAAUAAUGUAUUUGACAGUCUCCUGUCUUGAGAUGAGCAAGUAUUUCUUGAAACAACUGUGUCCAGCAGUGAGAGAAAUUACUUGUUUCUAAAAGCAUUUACUCGGCUUCAUCAACCAGGUCAUGAACUGACUGUUUAGCAUCAGAUAAAAUGGAUAAAACCUUGAAUUGAAUUCUUUUUUAGGGGCCAUAAGAUUAUUCUGGCUUUCAGAUAUAAUCACUAUGCGUCAGGUAGAAUCACUAUGCAUCAGAUGUAUGUAUUUGUGUAUGUGUAUUUUAGUAUAUGUACUUUAAAAAUUUACCAUAAAAUCUAGUGUCUAAUAGUAAAUGAACCAAUUACUACAAUAGAAAUACACUAAUACUACUAAACAACUUAUAACAUGAUUUUUGUGGAUAAAAGUUAAAAACUUAUGUUAUAAAUAAGAAUAAGCUCAGGCGAAUCACAAGAUUAUUUUUUACUUUUAGUGUCUUACUUGUCAUAUUUUACAGACCUUUAGUUUAAAGUUUCCUGUAGUGGUUAUGCAUAGUUGUAGCUUUUUUGUUGAGUUCUUUCCUUUUAAUAGCAAACAUUAGAUUCUCACAUUCAGUGGGAUGGAUCCUCUGUUAUAAAUAAAUUUCGUUACUACAUAAUGAAGUUUAAAUCAGUGAUGGAUAGUUUUGUAGCUAUCCACAUUUAUUAAUGUGAGCUAAUUUUUUGUCAUCCCCCAAUUAACAGGAGAGUAUUUGAGAGGGAAAUGAUGUGAUUAUAAUGUACGACAAAAUCUUGACACAGUUCCUAUAAGGUGUGCAGGUGUACUUUCAAGUUCACACACAUCACUAUGUAUGUAUUCAUUAUGUAGUAUCUCUGUAUUUGUUGGUCAUCUGUUUGUCCAUGUUUACAGCCAGUAACCCACGGUUAGCUGGUCUACCUUAGAUUGACUAUCAAGUAACUAGCUCAUUGUGUUCCAGCAGAACAUUGUUAAAUCACAUAAUAAUAUUAAGUCAGCUAUCCUGUUAUUAUAAUUAAAUAAGCGCAUUUAUUUUCUGUUAAUAGAAAAUUUUAGUUUGAGAUACUAGUGUAAGAAGUUGUUUCUGAGAGCAGACAAUUCAGAUGCAAGGUAGGUUUCAACAUGUACUUCUAUAAUAUGUUAUUUCACAAUGUCAUCAGCUUAAAUAUGAACUUUCUUGACUGUGUUCAAGUAGUAUAAGACAUAAGAUUUAUUAGUUGAUAUUAAGAUUAUUUGCCGUUGAUCAUAUAUACAAUGAAAUAGGUAUUGUCAAUACACUUUUAGUAUAAAACAUACUAAUAUAGAAACAAACCAUCAUUGAAAACCACAAAACAGAUUUAAGAGACUCAAAAACAUUUACCUUACAGUUGUAAAAUAAACAUAUAGUUUAAAAUUAAAACCCAGUGAUUUAAAACUGAAUAUUGACAUCCAUAUUUAAAAACUCGUCAAUUGAAUAAAAUGGAUUAUUUAAAAGCCACAAAUAAAAUUUUCUUUUAAAAUGAGUUAUGGGAGUAACAUGAGCAAUUUCUGGAAGCUUGUUAAAAAAUCUUACACAAUUUACCAUAUGGGAUGUUCCAAAUUUGGUCAGUCGAUGUUGAGGAAUGUCAAGCUUAUUUUUAUUUCUGGUGUUGUAUGUAUGAAAUUUAUUUCUAAUGAAAAAGUUUCUGAGGUUUGCUUUAGUGUAUAAUAUAAUAUGGUAAAUGUAGAGAUUAACUAUGGUAGGUAUUUGUAAUUGCAUAAAUAGGCAUUUUCAAUGAUCUAAUGGUGCAGCAUGACAAAUGUACAAAUAUCAAGCCGUAAGCAAUAUGUGGUUGGAAUAAUUCAAAAUAUGCUGUUCUAAGGUACUCGGUAGAUAUUAUAGAUCUUAAUUUCCAAAACAGAAAAGCAACUCCCGAAAGUAUUUUGUUUAAUCCGUUAACAUGGUCGUACCAACUCAAUUUCUUGUCAAUACAAAUUCCCAGUAAUUUGACAAAUUGGUGAUCGUUUUGAGAAAGGCUAAGUAAUAUGUUUUGCGUUUUACUUUCAUUGCAGAGAAGUUUAUUAGUUGUGAACAAUUUCUGAGUAUUACUAUGAGCUGCAGCCAUUGAGCCUUUAACCUUUCCAGAUUAUUAUGACAGAAGAACAGAGUUGAAUCGUCAGCAUAGAUGACAGAAUUCACACCAACAUCUUUUGAUAAAUCACUAAUUAUCACAAGGAAAAAGAAGGGUCCAAGGACAGAACCUUGAGGAACGCCAGAGGAAACAUCUAUUAAUGAUGAUUGUGUCCAUCUUAAACUUACAUACUGUCUGUAGUACUGUACUCAUUAGGGUUUUAUUUCUAGUCUUCUUAAAAAUAAACAAAAAAUUCUUCUAUAUUCUACUAUAUGUAGAAUAUAGAAGAAUUCUUCUAAAAUUCUACUAUUUAUGUAAUCCUUUAAAACUUAAAAUCUCUAUGUAAUACUUUUUUAAAUAUUAUAGACCCAACAGGGCAUUCUUGAAGUCAUGUCAUCCAUUUGCAUGUAUGAUAGUUUUUUAUAUAAAUCUCAUUACAUUUUUUUACUAUUGCAAAAAUAAAAUAUUUAUCUUCAGAAAUUCUUUAGUUGAGAUAUAUAUUAAAAGCCAGUCAAGUCAAUGAUUGAAUUUGAUAAGGUGUAAAGAUUUCUAAUCCUAUUGCAUUUUUCCAGGGCUUUCAUGGACUGUUGAGUUAAAUAUUGCUAAAGAGAAAAAAGCAGAAAAAGAGGAGGGUUUACCUGUCAUAGUUGCAGAACAUAGAAUACGUGCAUCACCUCGGCUGCACAAAGAGGAGGAGGAGAAGUUUGACUUUUUUGGUGAAUCUGACAAUAUUAUCCCACCAAUCAUACCACUGACAGUCCUGGCGCUGCAGCACAGCCAUAAAUGUUACCGCUGUGGGAAGAAAUACUCAACCAAAGGCACUUUGAACAGACAUCUUCGCUUCGAGUGUGGCCAGAAGCCGAAGUUCUUCUGCCCGCUGUGUAGGCGGCCCUUCACACGCAAUGAUACACUCACACAGCACCUGAAGGUGAUGCAUCCACGGUCUCACUUGGGUCAACCUUGAUGUGGAUCCUCACUCAACCAAAGUUCCUACGUCUAGUCAUUCGAAUCAACUUGUAUCUCGUAUUGUGAUUGUUACCGUUGAGCCGUUCAGUAUUGUACAGUAAAUGUUGUUUUAUAUUUUGUUCUUUUUUCAAUCCCUCCUGAACCCGACAGUAAAAGAAGUUUCUGUUGCAGUUGAGAAGACGAAAAUGAUAGUGAGUAUGUUUUUAUUUCUAUCAAUAGAAUACGGAUACCUUAUUUCUAUCAAUAGAGUACGGAUACCUAGUAUAAUUCUUUUUUAUCAUUGGUUAAGUUAAUUAAAAUAAUUUUAGUGUAUUUAGUGGCGAUGCACAACAGUUUUAGUACUAUGAAUUAUAUUAAAUGUUUGUCAUAGAGCAAAGUAACAAAACAUAUCAUCAGUAUUUUGCAAUAACUAUUUUUUUAUUGGUGUAGAAAAUAUAUACUAUAUAUGUCAGCUGUGUUAGGGUGAAGGACGUGUUGUAACCAGUUUGUUUGUAGUCAAAGUAAAUUGAAGUCGAGUGCUGCAUCAAAUAUACCCACUAUUGUGUUUGUUGUGGUAAUUUAAUUUUGUUAGCUUGUUAGCCAUUUUGUUGUAGCCAUUUCCUUUACGUUGAUGUAUUAUUUAAAUUUAACACUCAAAAUUUCAACCAGCAUAUAUAUGACCUAGAAGAACUAAAGUGGCAAAAUUAACAGGGGAUUUGGUGUAGUUGAUUUCAUGUGCUACAAGAAGACUUUGGUUAGCUGAAGUUUGUCAACCAAAGUCGUUAUCAUAGCUAUUUAGGUAAUUCAACAUUGUUAAUGGAAGAAACAAUAAAAAAUACGGAAUAAAAAUUAUUUAAACAUAAAAGUUCCAAAUACUUAAAGAAUAAAGAUGAUUUUAUAAAUAAAUUUCUCCUGUUGGAAGUAGUAUUUAAAGGCAGUUAAAUUAGUAUAAUCUUCCCAACACUCUUGACAUGUAUCUAGUAUUUAAACUCAGUUGAAUCUCUUCCAGAAAUUUCAGAUGUUAGUAAUUAGAGUAUGGACGGUUUCAAAAAUGUAAAAAAAUGUAAUGUGGCGAAAUUACGUUAUCAAUAUUAAUAACGCUUAAGGAGAAAGGAUUUAGUUAAGAGAAAAAAGAUGUGAGAUCUAGUUGGCACUGUAACUGUCCGGAUGUUACAGGUGAGCAGAUAACAGUGGCGGUGGCAGUGACGUGGCAGUGUCCAAAUUGUCCCAAGUCCUAUAAGAGCCAGUCGAGUCUGCACAGACACGUAAGGUUGGAGUGCAACAAGGAACCCACACUGGCGUGUCCCAACUGUCCGAUGAUGUUCGUCUACAAUAGCAGCCUUAACAAGCAUUGGCGGCGGAAACAUGCUUUACACCACUAGAGUUGCCGUUUAACGCUGAUAACAAGACAGAUUAGAGACCGCUGACCGCAGAGUCAGGGCCAGGUGGCGAUGUGUGCAAUAAGUGAUAUACCGGUUCUGGUUUUGUAAAUAUAUUUGUGAGGCUAGUGUGGUUCAUGUUAUCUUGGAUGCAUCGAGAUUAAUAAUUGUUUAUUACAUCUUGAAGAUAAUUAAUUUCUUAAUGACUCUAAGUUAUUAGUUAGGGAUGUUAAAGUAACAUCUUAGUACAUUGGAUGGAAAACUGUUGAAACAUAAGAUGAUAGACGCGAAAUUUACAAGGAACUCUGGACCAGACAGUGGAGGUACAAAAUGAUGGACUGCUUAGUAAAGAUGCCAGAGUUAAGAAAUUGAGUUUGAGAUGUUACAAGUGAAUGUUACAAGUUGAGGGCUGUGAAUGUGAAUGUGAAAAGAAAGUGCAGCUGUUAAUGAUUAAAGGCGUGAGACAAUAAAAAGCCACUUCAUGUCCUCGAGUGAUCAUGACCUAGCAGGCGAUCAUACACUGUCACCGAACAAGGAAGGCAACUGUAACGGACUGGCCACAGUGUUCAAGUACAGCUGUCCAGACUGCGGAAAAGCGUACAAGUGGAGACACAAUAUGCUGCAACACUGGAAGCGUGACUGUGGGAAACCUCCAAACUUUCUGUGUCCGUACUGUGACUACGGGAGUAAGCAGAAGAACAACCUCGCCAGGCACGUCCUCUCCAGGCAUAAGGAGCACUAUGUGUCCUUCUUUGAGGAUUUCCACAGGAAAAAUACCCUUGGAAUUUCGGCCGGUCAGGAGAAAGACGUGGUGCCUUCGGUUGGGUCACCUUUAUCCGUUCCGCUCUGAAGGCAGCAUUAGAUGAGUUGUGUAGCAAGAGUAUAUGGUAAAACCUAGAUAGUUUAAAUGCCAAGCUCUUUAUGCUGUACACAGUUUAGAGAUUCGUUGUCAGCCUCCGUCAGUUUUAUUACCAUCAGUUCUAUUACGACUUCAUGUAGUCAGUAUUUAUUUUUCACUGAAACUUUUCGUCUUCUGAGUUAAAAAAAUGUAUACAUUAUUUGUUGUUAUUACUUUUCCAGAGUUGUUGAAGUUUGUAAGAAUUUUUAAAUUAAACCGUAGCAGGUAACAAAUAAUUACGUUACUACCUUUAAACAUUAAACAUUGCAUUAAGGUUAGUCUUCUAUAUAAAGCAACUUAAACACAGUGAUAUUUAUAGGUUACUCAAAAAUGUGUAUGAAGUUCAUUGUGUGGAAGGUACUAUCAUGCAUCUUUUAAAAAUUAAUUCUUCCAGUAUUAUAAUUUGCAAAAUGUUAUCAGUUUUUCCAAGUCCAACAUUGUAAAAUAAUAUGAUAUCAAUUAGAAUAGGGCAAGUAUUAUCAAAAUAAUUGUCAUAUGGUAAUGGUGCUGCAGAUCAAAUGAAAUAACAUCAAUAAAUGCAUUAAUUUACAUCAUUUAAUGUAUUUUUUGGUAAGAAUUUAAAGACAUUUUCAUUUUUAUUAUUAACCAGCACAUAAACACACUUGUAACAAUAACAACUUCAUAUUUUCAUCUGAUAACUAUGGUAUUAAAGACUGUUUCAACUAUAUUUCGCAAUUAAAUAUAUUUUUAUUUAGAAUAUAAUUAAACAUAGGAAGGAGGAAUUGAAAAAUUCCUAUUAGUUCCUAAACUUAUGCUACUACAAGGUUUCACUGUUUAGAUCUUUAUUUAAAAUAAGACUUUUAAAAUGUUUAACAUUUUCCCUAAAGACUAAAUUCAAAUGGAUGUUUUAUUUUUCAAAUAAAAAAAAAAUACUUUGUUAACAGAUUUCAUGUUCUUCCAUAAAUAGAUUUACAUAACAAAUAUAUUGUUAUUACAUUCUGUAUUUUGGUAGUUUUCUUGUGUAAUUUGUGUUUACUUUUAAUCUAAUGAAAGUUGUUUCUCCCACCAAUAAUUGUUUUCAAAAUAAAAGUGAUUACCUUAAAAAAUUGAUAUGAUAGGUUAAAUGAAUUAUGAAUACGGUUUCACAACUCAUGUACUCACAUCUGGCAGUAGGUGAGGCUGGGAGCAAUCAAUAUUCCUCUAACACAUAGCAUAGAUAUUUAUUAGUUUUUUAAAGUAAUAUUUAUGUCAAAAUAAUAAACAUGUUUGUAUAGUAUAAAUUAUUUAUAAUAAGUUAAACCAAUUAACACUAUUUAUGAAAUAAUACUCUCUGUUAACUAGUUGUAAGAAACACCAUCAAUAUACACUAUUUUCGUACAUGAACUUGUCUGUACUUGGAAUCUAGAAAAUCUAAUAAUUUUUUGUAAUUCUCAAUUUGUGUUUUAUAGUUUCUAUACAUUAAACUACUUUUAAAAAGUUUAAAAAUUAGCUAGCAUUGCGUGUCUUUAGUUAUUUUUGCAUUCAUUAACUAAUUAGAAAAUAAAAAUAAUAAAUUAAGAUAAUUCUUAUAACUUUUACAAAAGAUUUGUGUGUAAUCUAUGGAUGAUAUCAAAACCUCCAUAUAUUUACUGCAUACCAAAAAUAAUACAAUAAAUUAAUGUACUACACUGUGUUUUCACUGGAGUUACGAACUAAAAUUGUUGACUUAUCGGCGAUUUUCAAAAGAAUUCUUGGAAACUGAAGCAUCUUCGGGUGGUUGCAGACCAAUGUAACUUGCUGCACCCUUAGAGUGCAACUUGCCUCUCCUUUCAUUCAGCUUAUUGGCUCCACAUAGUGUCUUUCAUGCUCAUAUUGUUGCUAGACAUUAAAAGAAAUCCGUCAGAGGAACUGUAUCAUCUCUGGUUACAUCACUUGAGACAUCACUACCACUGUAACUUGCUUUUGCUUGUAGUGAAUGUCUAACCCACUUCCAUCUCGGUUUCUUGUACACUGGGUGUGUCACCUGACUUCUGGUUCUCAUGCAGACAAAAAUAAAGGGAACAGUGUACCUGCGUUGCAAGCCCAAAUUGUAUACAUCUGAGGGAAUCAAAUUUGGCAAUUUUUUGUUUGCAACUCUGGUGUUAACAUAGGUAGCCAUGUGCAAUAAAAUUACAUAAAUAAGAUGUAUAAUGAAAGUAAGUACAAGUAUUUUGCAUUUUAAAGUCCUUUUUAAAAACAUCAAACAAGACGUAAUUUUAUGUAAUUGGAUGAUCACUGUCUUCUCAUGUACUUUGAGUCUGAGUGAGAGGAAACAUUUGCUCCUACUAGUACAAGUCAUGCUGUACUAACUAUGUCGAUAAACUUACAGUUUAGGUAAGUUAGGACUUUCGAUUUUAUGUAAUUGGAUGAUCACUGUCUUCUCAUGUACUUUGAGUCUGAGUGAGAGGAAACGUUUGCUCCUACUAGUACAAGUCAUGCUGUACUAACUAUGUCGAUAAACUUACAGUUUAGGUAAGUUAGGACUUUCGAUUUUAUGUAAUUGGAUGAUCACUGUCUUCUCAUGUACUUUGAGUCUGAGUGAGAGGAAACGUUUGCUCCUACUAGUACAAGUCAUGCUGUACUAACUAUGUCGAUAAACUUACAGUUUAGGUAAGUUAGGACUUUCGAUUUUAUGUAAUUGGAUGAUCACUGUCUUCUCAUGUACUUUGAGUCUGAGUGAGAGGAAACGUUUGCUCCUACUAGUACAAGUCAUGCUGUACUAACUAUGUCGAUAAACUUACAGUUUAGGUAAGUUAGGACUUUCGAUUUUAUGUAAUUGGAUGAUCACUGUCUUCUCAUGUACUUUGAGUCUGAGUGAGAGGAAACGUUUGCUCCUACUAGUACAAGUCAUGCUGUACUAACUAUGUCGAUAAACUUACAG